AGUGAACGCUGGCGGUAGGCCUAACACAUGCAAGUCGAACGGCAGCACAGUAAGAGCUUGCUCUUACGGGUGGCGAGUGGCGGACGGGUGAGGAAUACAUCGGAAUCUACUUUUUCGUGGGGGAUAACGUAGGGAAACUUACGCUAAUACCGCAUACGACCUACGGGUGAAUGCAGGGGAUCUUCGGACCUUGCGCGAUUGAAUGAGCCGAUGUCGGAUUAGCUAGUUGGCGGGGUAAAGGCCCACCAAGGCGACGAUCCGUAGCUGGUCUGAGAGGAUGAUCAGCCACACUGGCACUGAGACACGGUCCAGACUCCUACGGGAGGCAGCGAUGGGGAAUAUUGGACAAUGGGCGCAAGCCUGAUCCAGCCAUACCGCGUGGGUGAAGAAGGCCUUCGGGUUGUAAAGCACUUUUGUUGGGAAAGAAAAGCAGCAGGUUAAUACCCCGCUGUUCUGACGGUACCCAAAGAAUAAGCACCGGCUAACUUCGUG
rnacentral:rRNA from 1 species